GGAUAUAAAGAAGGAAUUUAUCGAGCAAAAGGACCAUUUGUAAUGUAACUGGGACAUUUUGGAGUGCCAACCGAAGAAGAUCUUCAAAGGUAAGGCAUAUAUUAUAUCGCUAUUUCUGACUUUCGUGUCGCAACUCCCUGGUUGAAAAUGAUUUGUUAUGCAUUUGUGUGCUGGACGCUGUCCUCAGAUAAUCGCAUGGUUUGCUUUCGCCGUAAAGCCUUUUUGAAAUCUGACACCUUGGCUGAAUUAACAACAAGUUAAGCUUUAUUUUGAUGUAACCCCUAAGUUUCCAACAUGACCUGACUUGUGUGUAUGUGUAUGUUAUAGGAGGAGUUGAUGGCGGAGCAUGCGUAUUACCUGCGGCAACACCCAGGUCUAUCUGUCUUCAGAGGGAUCUAGGGUGCAGACAGCAGAUGGUGGUGGAGGUGUUUGGGGUGGAGAGGACAGUGGAUUCAGUUGGAGGACAUUCCAGGCACUUGGCAGUGUUGGCACUGCUACUUCCUACCUGACGGGCACCUGGCUACCCGAGUGCAGGUGGGCUCUCUGUCAACAUGAGGCUCUUACUGGUCCUACCCCAAGUACACACAUACACAGGUACACACACAUAAACCACUAACCCCUAAGUUUCCAACAUGACCUGACAUGUGUGUUACAGGAGGAGUUGAAGGUGGAGCAUGCCUUGUACCAGCGGCAGCACCCAGAGCUCCAAGCCAUGAUGGGUCGACUUCCUGCAGUUCCUGCUACUAUGAAAACUGAGCGAGGUCAUCAUGUUCGCCCGCAAGGACAUCUUUGCCUCCUGCCAACCACCGGGGGGCACCUUCAACACCUCCUCACCUUGAGGACACACACUGUGGCUGCGUCUGUGUCUCAAUAGUCUAGUAGCUUUCUUUGACUGGCACUUUAGUGAGGACAAUACUAUUCUGGUUAACACUUGUCACCAGUAUGUACAGAGGCCCUCGAGAUCUAGAGUAUUGAUAAAAUACGAAUGCUUUUAUGGAUGUUUUUUAUUUUGUGAUAAUGUUUUUACUGUCUUUUGUUUGUAUGAGGUGCACUGAAACAAAUUCCAAUCAACUCUGUUGAUUUGGCAAUCACAAGAGGUCCAGUUAUGUCAGUUAUUGUGAAUGAAAAUAAAAUGUAUUAUUUCAUGUCUUGUAUGUUUCCCAUGCUUAAUUUAUGUUGAGUUAUUCCAGUAACUGCUACAUUGCUUUGGCUCUAAUCUGAUCAACCGAUAAUGUUUUAAAAAAUAAAGUUAGAAAUAAAAUUAUGCUCAUGCUUUUACUCAGUACUUUGUUGAAG
rnacentral:lncRNA from 1 species